rnacentral:antisense_RNA from 1 species
GGAUAAUGCAAGUGUUUAACAGAUGCUUCACUAUUAAAAUAUUUCCCCCCCAAGUCUCAAAUAUUGAAGAAUCUCUAACCAGGGACACCAGUCCCUACGAAGACCUUGGGCGAUUUUGAAGUGCGGGCACCUCGAUUCCCCGAAUCUGUAGUGUGGCUGGUAUCGGUGUUCCCCUGGUUUAACUAGCCUGUUUGAAGGCACAGAUCAUUCAUGGGGAAGUAUAACCGAAACCAGUCCUCUCCACCCCCUGGGGAUCUUCACUUUCCCAGUCUACAACUGCCUGUGACUCCAGAAAGACAAACUGCAGAUUGGCCAAGGUACAUCUCAGAUCAGAUCCCUCUGGGAAAAGCGCGGGAAUGCUUGGCUCUAGUAGUUAGGAGCUCUGGUGAGAGCGCCCCUAGUGCCAUUUUCCCAUCCCUGCCCUUGACGGUCCCCUUUGGUCUAAAUUCACGGUUCUAGACAGUCAAAGUCUACCUGCUGGGUGUCCACUCUCAAGCCAUAGGUUUUCAAUCCUAAAAGGGAUUAGGACCUUGGCUCAAAAUGUGGUCAACGCAGUGUUCAAAUUAGGAGGGCAGCUGGGAGAUGGCAGCAGGGGAUGAAAGUAUGACUCCUACUUCGUCCCCAACUGUGGGUCUGGCACCCCUUGACUUGCCAGCAUGCUGGCAAACAACCCAUCUCUCUUGGAGAAUCCACACUUCGUUUCUUCUAGGUCCAGCCUAAAUGUUACCUCCUCCAGGGAGCCUUUCCAGAUACUGCUUCUCCUCUCUCCCCCAACUCCCUCCCACAAAUGAAGUUUUCUCUUCUGAAUUCCUUCCUGGUGCUGUCACUUAUAUUCUUUUGGGUAGAUCUCUGGGCAUGCAUAUGUCACCUCCUGUGACUGUGGGUUUCUUGACAACCUAAUCAAUGCAUUGAACAAGGGAGAUGUUUAGACAACCCAUAUAAAAUGAAUAAGAGAAAUAGGGUGAAUACCGUCUACCCCAAUUGCAAUCAGAUUAGUUUCCUUUAUUUUGAAAACGAUUAUUACUAGUAGAGGAGUUAGAUGUGGCCCACUAGGGAACAAAUCUUCAUCUCCAAGCCGUCCUCUGGCUCGAUCGGGCCUGCACUGGGUCUGCAUCAACUUGCGCUGGCUCAGAGGGAGGCUCAGCCGCAGCCUGGCCUUCCUGGUGUCCACUCCCAACAUCCUGAGCAGGGCCGACUCUAGGCACCCCACGAUUAGCUGAGUGAUCUAGGGCAAGGACCUAGGCGUCUCUAAGUCUUAGUUUCCCCAUCUGAACAAUGGGGAUAAUGACACGUACCUGGGGUGGGCAGGCUAGAGUAAAUGGGAAAAUCAAAGCGCCAGCCAGAGCGGGUCGCGCUGUUAGUAUUCCUGUAUUUUCUCCUCCUGCCUCUUUGGUUUCUUCCGUUCCGUUCUAGCUGCCUGAAGACCCAGCCCGACAGCGAUGCCUGUCAGCCCGCGUCGCCCACCAGGGCAGCUGCUCUCCCGACUCGCAUGGGGGGCACCACCCCGCCUCGGUGCCCUAGAGCUGAGCGCAGCCGCGGCUCCACGGGGAUCGCCAGGGCCUCAGCCCUCGCGGCCGGCGGCGCGGGAGUGUUGCGGGGCAGGGACCAGAGCGCGAUCAGAGCGGCCAACCCCCGAUUUAGGUCGCCAGCUUUCCAGUCACUGCGAUGGCCACUGGGGCGCCCCUUCCAUCCUGGUUAAAUUCUCAUUGUGAUCCCCAGCCCUCUUCUCGGUUCCCCACACCCAGGAGGCCGGUUCUCCGCCGCUCAGGCUGGGAGAGGUCACCGCUCCGGGCAGGGUGGACCCCCAGCUCCGUCUCGGAGGACCUUUCGCCGGAGGCGAGCAGGAAGGGGUUAACCAUGAGCCUCCCACCCUCACCUCCCAGACCCUGGUGCCGGGCGAAGGCCUCCGCUUCCCUCCUGAGGUCUCAUUAGGAAACCCUCACCGCUAUUUUCAACAUUUCCUCAAUCAAGUGUCUUUAAAUAGAGCUGCACAAACAGAUUGGCGGCAAAAGCGUAGAUCUUGUCACGAUUGAGACCAAUCCAGUAUUUCAGCCUUGUUUGCUUUGCAAUUACGGGUUGGCUUGUGGCUACGGUGCCACCGGGGCAAAUCUGCAGCCGCUCGCUUUCUCCUCUGCACUCCGGGCGGGUGGAGGAAGCGACCCGCGGAGUCACUGCAGGGAGGAGAAGGGGACGCGCGCGGGGGGAGGCGGCGGAGGGCGGAGGAGCCUCGCUUGCACCCCAGGGCCGCGGGCACGCAGAGCUGUGUUGAAGGACAUACUUUUCAGGUUCCUGACAGUCACUGAGCUAUACGCAAUAAUAAAGUGCGUGAUUCGCGUGUGGAAACCAGUGUCGUGUCCUUACCAGCUUCCUUUUCUGUCCACCUUCCCUCUCUCUUCUACCUCCGUUUCGCUUUUCUUCAGUGCAUGUUAGCGGUUUGCUGGAUUUCCCUUCUCCCUCGCUGUUCAACUGCUAGCAUGAUUUGUUACAUUUUCCACAGCUGUUUAUUCUUGUUUGACUUUUUGUACAAAGUCACUUUAAAUCUGCUGCAGAAAGAAUAAAGCUCCUAGCCCUUUGGAUGGACUCCUGCAGGCGUGUGGCUGUCCCUGGCCCACUUUUAAUUCUUUGGAGAUGGCUCUUCUGUGUAAAUCAGCUGUUGGGUGCGUUCGGUCACCUCGUAGGCCAGCCUAGUUUGUAUCAGCAGAACAGUAGUGGACUCAACUCAGGUCGUAAGCUUUAUAUUUCACAGACAAUUAAAUCUUGGCUGCUGUUGAACAAAACUGUAGUAUUUACUUUAUUCUAUACCGAGGAGCACUUUUAAAGUAAAAAAGAAAAAAAACAAAUACUACACUUCAAAAAGAAAAUAUGACAAUGAAUCUCUUUUUAUGGAUUCUCUCUGCAUAAGUGGAAAUAAUAUGAUUUAAAUCCCCAACACCCCAUCCCCCUUUUCAGACACAGCUGAAGUGAUACAGAUACUGUCUUCUAACACAUAAUCUCCCUCUCUCGGGAGAGGCACCUGCCUGUGCUACAUUCGAUUUAGUUUGUAAGGUUUCAGGCCCCUCCCCGACCCAUGUAAUAUGUAGCAAGGAUUAUCAAAUAACAAGGUCUUGGAUGUGAAGUCUGCUUUACACAAGAAUUCAAGAAAGAUAGGCAGGACUUGAGUAAUUAUGUUACAACUUCAUAUUACUUUCCAAAUGAAUACCCAUUUUCUUCUCAUGUCAACUUCUAGAGAUGGGAUGCUGAGGCAGAGAAAUAUUUUUAUGGAUUCUGGAGUACAUACUAAAAUGUGCUUCCUUAUUAUUUAAGAAUGUGUAAGGUAUGGACCUACAUUUGUUUGCUGGUGGUCAUAAAAUAAAUUCAUAGCCAUUGUUGCCAAUCAGCAAUCUCCUUCACGCUUUAAAAGUUUUUGGUUUAUAAUCCCACCUGGAUUGUAUUUUCACUAUUCCGUAUCACCCUCCUAUUGCAAUAUUUUGGUUCUCAAUCUUAUGUAAAGCAAACCUCAGAAAUGAUCGUUUCCAUAAAAUUGUGCAAUGGCAAAGCCACGGAAUAAUAUUUUGAGUCCAUAUAGCCGUGCAUGCUCAUCUAUAUAGCUCUUAUACAGUUUUCUAGCUAACUGAUUGCUUUGGUAUUUCAAGAAAUAGGAAGCAGUAACUACCUAUUUGAAUGAAAGGGUACCAUUUCAUAAGAAUUCUAUUUUCACUGAAAAAAUUGGUCUGGCACAUUAUUCAAUGCAAAAGAUUAUAAUAUUACUUUCACGUGUGUUAAUCUGUUUAGUAUAAAACUGCUAGGGUGUCUUAACCAUUAACGCGUUUUGCCACACCACUUUCAAAUGGUGAUCUGAGAUAAUUACGAAGAUUUUGAUGUUAAUCCCACGUUAAAUGAACAACUAUGAAAAUAAUCUUGAAGCAUUAUUACUCCCAUAUACAUGCCAGCCAACCCAAUUGUGGAGAGAACAUGAUUACUUUUUAUCUGACAUUAUCCUAUAAGGAUAUGGCUACGUUUAUUUCUUUUAAAAUUGGAGCAGUUUUCAAUGACUUUUUAACAGAAUUGUUUUCAACACAGCAUUUUGCAGUGCCCAUAAACCAUAGCAACUUUGUCCUGAUCAAUACAUAUUUUUCUGCAUUAUUAUUCAUUAGCCUCUUUGCAAACUCACUAAAAUAGAAUAGUAGUAAAAUACGAACAUAUAGAGAACAAUUAUUAGGUUCUACAUAUUUAUUUAGGUAAACCAAUGUUAUAAAAAUUAAAAACAUGUGCCUGACAUAUAAGUGCUUCUUCAGGAAUUCUUUUUUGGAUGCAUAGUUAUUAUUUUUUAAACAAACUCAGAUUUUCAAACACUGAUUUUCUUCUCUGAACAGGCAUUGCAUUGUUUUAAACAGUAGCUCCUGGAAUAAUGCCACCUUUAGUAUUUUAGACUUUCAAACAACAAUUGGAAUUGGAUAAAUGCUUUCAGCUGGGAGCACUUUCCUAAUACCUUUGUAGGUAAUGGGAUUCUCUAUUUGUGCUGGGUGACAAACGGACAGUACCCUGGACAGACUGCCUACCCUCUGCAGAAUCUACCAAAAAGUAGAGUUUUCCCAUGAGACUGCUUGUGGUCCAUCUAAAAAUGGAAAAAAAAAAUCAGAGAAAAUGCGCAAGGCCUUUACUAACUACAGUUAUGAAAUGAUGGCUUAAAGAGGUAUUUAGAAAAUAAGAGUGGAGUAAUACAGAAACAAAAUCUGAAGAAGAAAGUUUGCUUAGGAGCUGAUGCUCUUUGUCUACAAACAAGAGGGUAAGGAGCUGGAUCCAAUUGAAUUGAAUUGUUUUUGUUUGCUUGUUUGUUUUCUUCCAUUCAGUGCCUUUCAAACUGCUUUUUACUGGAUGAAGAAACUCAACCAAGAAAAUAUAUGUCAAUUCUUGUAUAUGGGACAAUAUUAGCUGCUGUGAUUUUUAAUACUAGCAUAAAAUAUAAGAAUCUUUUUAUUACUGUGAUAUUGUUUUUUCCUAAAUGAAUGCAUAGUGUAACAAUUGGUGUCAAAAAGCACUGAAUUUUUUUCAGAUGGAUUAAGCUGGAAUAAUAAAGUAUAUCUAUGAGAUGAUUUCUGUAAACUCUGACUUGCUGAGAAAAAAGUGAAAAAGCUUUUUCUGGAAGAAACAUGGCAACUUAACCAUUAUUAAUCUGGACUAAACAAAACAGGAAACUGCUUCUUUACAUUUCUAGUAAUUUUUUCUGCUUUUCCAAACAUUGUUAAGUUCUAUGCAACUUGUGCUAUUCAAGUAAAGAUGAUGUCAGUAAUAAAAUGACAGAAUCUA